UCUGAUUUAUAAAAACAAGUUAACCUAAUUUGUGUCAGACUUUGUUUAAAGUAAUAUUAAUGAGAAAACAACACCAAAACUGUUUAAAAUAAAAGGUUAAACUGUUUAACUGAUGAAGCAAAUAUUUCCAAAAUACAGUCACAGGAUACAAAACUGUAAAAAUAGAACUGUUUUAAAAGUAUAUUAUUUAAACAAGUCCAAGUAAAACAUCACUAACAGCAAUAUGAUUUGGCUGUAAUCAAUAUUCUACAGGGAAGGCUGGAUUUUCAAGACAAGUGCAUCUAGAACCAUAUUCAGAUGAUUCAAGAAGUACAUCAUUGUUGAGAUGGUAGACUGAGAUUUCAAGCUGAUCAAGAAUCAACACAGAAGCAUCCUCACUGCUGAAGAAGACAGAAUCUCAAAUAUUGUACACAACCAAGUGUACAUUUGCAACUCCUUCACCUUAAAUGCUUGAAUCUCCUCAUCUACCUACUGCUCAUCCCCUCCUUUUAUCCUCAUCCUCAUUCACUCACAACCUUCUAUCUCCAUCUCCUCAGCAUGUGUUGAUUGCAUUAUCCUUAUCACUUUGUUCCUUCACCUUUUACCAGGCUUAUAUAUAUGAGUCCACUGUCAUUCUCCUACUAAAUACACUUUAACUUCUUGUUGCACUGACAGUUAGCAACCCCACUCCUCUGGAGCACCUCAAUUACCACUCCUCAUCUGCUCUUGCCUUUAUCUUAUCACUUCCUCUUAUCUUUGUUCACCUCUGCUAUUGCCAAUUGCUCUUCUGACUCCACUUCAAAUAGCCCUGCUUUUUGUGCUCCAAACAAAUAAUUUUGUUAAGUAAAACAGGUGGCAUGAAUCAGAUAUGCUUGAUGAUAGGUGUUCAACUACUAUGAAUAUCUUUGAAACUAUAAGUAACAUGGACUGAAAGGUUCUCUUUGUAUUCAGUAGUUGAUUGAGAAAGAAAAGAACAACUAUACAAACACAACACUUUGAGAUGGAUUCUCAUUUUGGUGAGGACAAGACAACUCUCUGGUACUGUGACAGAGACAAUACAGGGAAGAGAGGAGUGUUGCUGGGGACAAAACCUCUAGUUGUGAUACCACAAUAAAAUAAAAUUUACCAAGUACAUUUCAAAGAAAAUAAAAAUAGAAAAACAAAAAGGAAUGAGCAAGCAAGACAAGGUCCCCACUUCCCCACUCUCCAUCAAGGAUGAUAGUAACUAUAAAUAAGAAUUGUCUUCACCUGUGAUGAUCUGUUCAACUCAUGCUAGUAUAGAAAGCGCAUGUAAAAAAAUUAUGAUGCUAUCUAUAUACAUACAUACAUACAUAUGUAAAUGUACACAUUCACAACAUAAAAAUGAAUAUUUUUUUUUAGACAUGGUAGUGAAAUUUGGUCUUGAAUGCAGAUUUACAGACUAGAAAGCAUGAUCACUUCACGAUUAUGCUUUGCUAGAUGUGUAAUAAUACUGUGCAUGAACAGAGAGAAAAACUGAACAUAAGAGGAAUCAGACGUGGUAUACAAGAGAAAGGACUGCAUGCGUAUGAGUAUGUGAUGUGUAAUGGAGGAUGACAGGUGUAUAAAGAAGUGCUAGGUACCCAAAAUGAAUGGUACUCACAGAAGAGAGAGAUCAAGAAAGAUUUGUGAAGAAGUGGUGAAGAUGGAUCUGAAGUUGUUGCAUCUUACAAAGGAGAUGACAAAGGACUACAUGCUGAAUAGGAAAAGACUGGUUUGUCCAUCCAAGCUUGGUAAAAUGGACAUCAAAAUUGUUAGUGUGUACAUAUGUAUGCAUAUGCAGCCAUGUAUCACUAGGUAUCAUCAUCAUCAUUUAACGUCCGCUUUCCAUGCUAGCAUGGGUUGGACGAUUUGACUGAGGACUGGUGAAACCAGAUGGCUACACCAGGCUCCAAUCUGAUUUGGCAGAAUUUCUACAGCUGGAUGCCCUUCCUAACGCCAACCACUAUAUAUAUAUGCACAUGUUAUUAACUUCUUUGAUGCACUCUCAUUUCUCAAACAAGUAUCUUAUUGCUCACCAGUCUUCUAUAUAUCCCACACUUUUAUCACUCAUCUGUUUAUCAUCCAUACCCUCAUCUCUCAUACUCACGUCCAUAUUGUUCAUCUCUUCUUCCCACCCUCCUCUUUUCAAUCUCACUGCAGCAGUCUGCCAGUGUGACUAAGGAUAGCAGUGGAUCUCUUCUGCUCAUCAUACUCAGCUUCCAGUGCAACUGAGGAUGUCACUGCACCUGUCUGACCUUCUCACCAACACUCCACCCACCUCUCACAGUUUUAUUACCCAUCUUGAGACAUAUGUUUUAAGAGCCCUCACCAGAUAUGUAUAUACCUCACACACUCUACUUAUACUCCCCACUUAGCCAUUUGGUACAGAAGUCAAUUAUUUGUCCUUACCAUUCAUUGAUCUUUUGCUAUCCAUCUUGCCAUCACCCCUAUCCUAUCUAAUGUUAUUACAUUGAUAAAAUCCACCCGCUUUUACCACUACUGUGAACUCUGUUAAGUGUUGGACCUGGUCUGUUUAAUCUUCUCAAAGACAUGACAACCUCCCUAGUACUGGUGUCACAAAAAAAAAAAAAAAAAAAAAAAAAAAAGCACCCAGUACUCUGUAAAGAUGUUGGUGUUGGCAUCCAACCAUAAAAACUGAAUCAAAAAUUAAACUUACAAGUGAGAUGCAGUGUUCAGACUCAUCUAGAAGUGCAAUAAUGACUAUCUAACCCAUGCCAGCAUAGAAAGCAGAAGUUUUAUUAUAAUGAUAAUAAAACUAAGCAUUAAAAUAUUUCAAUUAUCAUAUCCCUAAGUAUAUUUCCAAUUACUGUAUUUAUUCUGGACAUGCUAUUAUACAGAACUGCAAGUAAAUAACACCAUUAGUUUAGCCGCUGUUUACAACCAACUAUAAAAAAAAAAAAGGGAAAUACAAA